rnacentral:rRNA from 1 species
UUGCCAGCCCGCUCAGAACUUAAAGGAAUUGACGGGGCCCGCACAAGCGGUGGAGCAUGUGGUUAAUUCGAAGCAACGCGAAGACCUUACCAGGCCUUGACAUGCAGAGAACUUUCCAGAGAUGGAUUGGUGCCUUCGGGAACUCUGACACAGGUGCUGCAUGGCUGUCGUCAGCUCGUGUCGUGAGAUGUUGGGUUAAGUCCCGUAACGAGCGCAACCCUUGUCCUUAGUUACCAGCACGUUAUGGUGGGCACUCUAAGGAGACUGCCGGUGACAAACCGGAGGAAGGUGGGGAUGACAUCAAGUCAUCAUGGCCCUUACGGCCUGGGCUACACACGUGCUACAAUGGUCGGUACAAAGGGUUGCCAAGCCGCGAGGUGGAGCUAAUCCCAUAAAACCGAUCGUAGUCCGGAUCGCAGUCUGCAACUCGACUGCGUGAAGUCGGAAUCGCUAGUAAUCGUGAAUCAGAAUGUCACGGUGAAUACGUUCCCGGGCCUU